GCUUGUUUGGCGAAAUGGUAGACGCGUGCGGCUUAAAUCCGUAUAACAACAUGUUUUGUGGGUUCAAAUCCCACAACAAGCA
rnacentral:tRNA from 1 species